UACGUAGGGCGCAAGCGUUGUCCGGAAUUAUUGGGCGUAAAGAGCUCGUAGGCGGCUUGUCACGUCGGGUGUGAAAGCCCGGGGCUUAACCCCGGGUCUGCAUUCGAUACGGGCUAGCUAGAGUGUGGUAGGGGAGAUCGGAAUUCCUGGUGUAGCGGUGAAAUGCGCAGAUAUCAGGAGGAACACCGGUGGCGAAGGCGGAUCUCUGGGCCAUCACUGACGCUGAGGAGCGAAAGCGUGGGGAGCGAACAGG
rnacentral:rRNA from 1 species